rnacentral:rRNA from 1 species
GGUAUGAUUAAUUAAAUGGCCGCAGUACCUUGACUGUGCGAAGGUAGCAUAAUCAUUUGUUUUUUUAUUGAAAACUAGAAUGAAAGGGUUGACGAAAAAUAGUCUUUUGAUUUCAAAAAUUAAAUUAACAUAAAGGUCAAAAGGCCUUUAUAAACCGGGGGGACGACAAGACCCUAUAAAACUUUACUAUUAUCAUAAAAAAAAUAGUUAAACUGGGGCGGUUGAUACUAAAACUGUGUUAUUAAAAAUAUAAAACAUAAAAUCUAAGAACUUAAUAUUUAUAAAAUUUUAAACAAGUUACUUUAGGGAUAACAGCAUAAUUUUUUCAGAGAGCCCGAAUCAACGAGAAAGCUUAUGACCUCGAUGUUGAAUUGAAAAUCCUUGUAUAAGCAGUUAUAUACAUAGGUAGUCUGUUCGACUAUUAAAUUUUC